rnacentral:rRNA from 1 species
AGCGAACGCUGGCGGCAUGCCUAACACAUGCAAGUCUGACGGGCUGGGGGCGACCCUGGUCAGUGGCGGACGGGUGAGGAGCGCGUAGGGACGUAUCCAGGGGUGGGGGACAACCGCGGGAAACUGCGGCUAAUACCGCAUGGGGCCUGAGGGCCAAAGGCUGGGGGAGACCUUAGUCGCCUAUGGAGCGGCCUGCGUCCGAUUAGCUUGUUGGUGGGGUAACGGCCUACCAAGGCUGCGAUCGGUAGCUGGUCUGAGAGGAUGAUCAGCCACACUG